GCCUAGUUAGCUUAGUUGGUAGUGCGUCUGCCUUGUAAUCGCUAGGCCGCGGGUUCGAUUCCCGCCCGGGGCG
rfam:Asian citrus Psyllid, Diaphorina citri - Florida Strain, whole genome shotgun sequence.